GAGUUUGAUCCUGGCUCAGGACGAACGCUGGCGGCGUGCUUAACACAUGCAAGUCGAACGAAAAGAGGGAAAGAGCUUGCUCUUUCCGGAAUUGAGUGGCAAACGGGUGAGUAACACGUAAACAACCUGCCUUCAGGAUGGGGACAACAGACGGAAACGACUGCUAAUACCGAAUAAGUUCCAAGAGCCGCAUGGCCCAUGGAAGAAAAGGUGGCCUCUACCUGUAAGCUAUCGCCUGAAGAGGGGUUUGCGUCUGAUUAGCUGGUUGGAGGGGUAACGGCCCACCAAGCCAACGAUGGGUAGCCGAGCUGAGAGGUUGAACGGCCACAUUGGGACUGAGACACGGCCCAGACUCCUACGGGAGGCAGCAGUGGGGAAUAUUGCACAAUGGGGGAAACCCUGAUGCAGCGACGCCGCGUGAGUGAAGAAGUAUCUCGGUAUGUAAAGCUCUAUCAGCAGGGAAGAAAAUGACGGUACCUGACUAAGAAGCCCCGGCUAACUACGUGCCAGCCGCCGCGGUAAUUC
rnacentral:rRNA from 1 species